AUCGCUUCUCGGCCUAUUGGCUAAGAUCAAAGUGUAGUAUCUGUUCUUAUCAGCUUAAUCUCUGGUACGAUCUCCAUCGGGGAUCCAGAAGAUUAAACUGAUUUUUGGAAGAUGACGGAGUGCUAGGGGCUUGCUCCACCUCUGUCGCGGGUUGACCCGGUAUUGCAGUACCUCCGGGAACGGCCCACCGCAU